GUUGCAGACAUGGAAGUCACAGGAAAGGAAGAAGAUGAAGAGGAGAUGGGAAGAUAACAGACAUUGUUUGGAACAUUUCCAUGGAGACAAGGGAACACAAUAUAGGAGAACACAGAGUGGAAGAGAGCAUCAGGCAUCCUGGUAGGUGGAGAAGAAGACAGACAUGAAGGAAGGGCAGAACUGUACACCUGGUGAAGACAAGGCUUUCCCCUGCUCACUCCUCAGCUCUCUUGCUGAG
rnacentral:lncRNA from 1 species